UACGGGGGAGCAAGCGUUGUUCGGAUUUACUGGCGUAAAGGGCGCGUAGGCGGCCACCGCAAGUCGACUGUGAAAUCUCCGGGCUUAACCCGGAAAGGUCAGCCGAUACUGCGGGGCUAGAAUGCAGAAGGGGCAACUGGAAUUCUCGGUGUAGCGGUGAAAUGCGCAGAUAUCAGGAGGAACACCAAUUGCGAAGGCAGCUCGCUGGGACGUUACUGACGCUGAGACGCGAAAGCGUGGGGAGCAAACAGG
rnacentral:rRNA from 1 species